rnacentral:rRNA from 1 species
CUACGGGUCGCUCCAGUGGGGAAUAUUGCACAAUGGAGGAAACUCUGAUGCAGCAACGCCGCGUGGAGGAUGACACUUUUCGGAGCGUAAACUCCUUUUAUAUAGGAAGAAGAUGACGGUACUAUAUGAAUAAGCGCCGGCUAACUCCGUGCCAGCAGCCGCGGUAAUACGGAGGGCGCAAGCGUUACUCGGAAUCACUGGGCGUAAAGAGCGUGUAGGCGGAUUAAAAAGUCAGAAGUGAAAUCCUAUAGCUUAACUAUAGAACUGCUUCUGAAACUCUUAAUCUAGAAUAUGGGAGAGGUAGAUGGAAUUUCUGGUGUAGGUGUAAAAUCCGUAGAGAUCAGAAGGAAUACCGAUUGCGAAGGCGAGCUACUAGAACAUUAUUGACGCUGAGACGCGAAAGCGUGGGGAGCAAACAGGAUUAGAUACCCCGGUAGUC